UACGUAGGGUGCAAGCGUUAAUCGGAAUUACUGGGCGUAAAGCGUGCGCAGGCGGUUAUGCAAGACAGAUGUGAAAGCCCCGGGCUCAACCUGGGAAUUGCGAUGAAGACUGCAAGGCUUGAAUCUGGCAGAGGGGGGUAGAAUUCCACGUGUAGCAGUGAAAUGCGUAGAGAUGUGGAGGAACACCGAUGGCGAAGGCAGCCCCCUGGGUCAAGAUUGACGCUCAUGCACGAAAGCGUGGGGAGCAAACAGG
rnacentral:rRNA from 1 species